GAUAACGCAGUGAACGGGAGGUUCCGUUUUCGGCUCAAGGAAGAGAGUGCGCAUUCUGGUGCGAGCGCAUAUUGGCCGGUUCGGAUGGUCGCCCGGGAGCGGUCUUUCUGAAUAAAGUAGGAAAGAACGGGGCUGCCCGUUACAGCAGUUUUUAAGUGCCCGAAAGGGAAUUCAGGUGGUACCGCGGAAAAUUUUCGCCCUGAGC
rnacentral:ncRNA from 1 species